GGGUCUAUAGCUCAGGUGGUUAGAGCGCACGCCUGAUAAGCGUGAGGUCGAUGGUUCGAGUCCAUUUAGACCCA
rfam:Clostridium perfringens str. 13 DNA, complete genome.